AUUGAACGCUGGCGGCAGGCCUAACACAUGCAAGUCGAGCGAGCGGCGGACGGGUGUGUAAUGUAUGGGGACUGCCCGAUAGAGGGGGCUAACUACUGGAAACGGUGGCUAAUACCCCAUACUGUCGGAUAACCCAGAUGGGAUUAGCUAGUAGGUAAGGUAAUGGCUUACCUAGGCGACGAUCCCUAGCUGGUCUGAGAGGAUGAUCAGCCACACUGGGACUGAGACACGGCCCAGACUCCUACGGAGGCAGCAGUGGGGAAUAUUGCACCAUGGGCGCAAGCCUGAUGCAGCCAUGCCGCGUGUAUGAAGAAGGCCCUCGGGUUGUAAAGUACUUUCAGUCGGGAGGCGUUACCGACAGAAGAAGCACCGGCUAACUCCGUGCCAGCAGCCGCGGUAAUUG
rnacentral:rRNA from 1 species